rnacentral:rRNA from 1 species
AUGCAGCUAAGUAAUCUCUAUGAGCAAAUGGAUCUGUCCUGCCUUGUGGAUGAGUUCUCUUGGGGUGAGAUUGCCACUGCUGUCAUGCAUUCACCUAACAAUCGCAGCCCGGGCCCUGAUGGUUUCACCAAUGAGUUUUACAAAACCUUCCUUGGUGUCAUUAAGAAUGAUCUACAGUUCUUUUUCCAGCAGUUGUAUCAUCACCUAGUGGACUUGUCUGGAGUUAAUCAGGCAUACAUUUCCCUCAUACCAAAGAAAGACACCCCCUUGGAGCUUAGAGAUUACCGGCCCAUCUCGGUUGUACACAGCCUGCCAAAGCUUGCAAGCAAAGUGCUUGCUAGGAGGCUCCAAAUUCAGCUUCCUGCGUUGGUCCACCCUCUUCAGUCCAGCUUUGCCAAGGGCCGAUCCAUUAUUGAGAAUUUUGUUAUGGCUGCAGACAUGGUGCAAACGGCACAUAAACGGAAGAUUCCCAUGAUAGUUCUUAAACUAGACUUCCAGAAGGCAUUCGACACGGUUAGUUGGGCUUGCCUUUCCAGCAUUUUGGAGGCUCGUGGCUUUCCUCGGAAAUUGAUCAGUUGGGUUGAUGCUAUUGUGUCCAUGGCCAGCUCCAGGGUCAUGAUCAAUGGUGAAUUGGGCGAACCGUUCCAAGCCAAAAGAGGAUUUAGGCAAGGUGAUUCAAUGUCACCGUAUCUGUUCAUUUUGGUGGCUGAUGUUUUGCAAAGACUCUGUUGUCAAUAG